rnacentral:rRNA from 1 species
AUGAAUCGGCAAUGGAUGUACGGUCCCCGACUCUCCGGCGAGUUCACUACAGGUUUGAAAGAUUUCCUCGUAGUGGCAAAUGCGAACAAGCAGCAAGGUUUUAUUAUCUGUCCAUGUGCUGUCUGUAAGAAUCAGAAGGGUUACUCCUCCUCAAGAGACGUUCACAUGCACCUGCUUCGGCACGGUUUCAUGCGAAGCUAUAAUUGUUGGACCAAGCAUGGAGAAAGAGGGGUUAGAAUGGAAGAAGAUGAAGAAGGGGAUGAUAUCGAUGACAACUAUCAUGAUCAUUUCGGUGAUACUUUCAUGGAGGAUGAUGCUGAAGGUGGGGAAGGGUUAGGUGAAGGUGAAGAAGAGGCACAUGAUGAGCCCGCUGAUGAUCUUGGUCGGACCAUUGCUGAUGCACGGAGACGCUGCGAAACUGACAAGGAUAGGGAGAAUUUGGAUCGCAUGUUAGAGGAUCACAAAAAGUCGUUGUAUCCAGGAUGCGAUAAUAGUCUGAAAAAGCUGGGCUGCACACUGGAUUUGCUAAAAUGGAAGGCACAGGAAGGUGUAGGUGACUCAUCAUUUGAAAAUUUGCUGAAAAUGUUGAAGAAUAUGUUUCCUAAGAAUAACGAGUUGCCCGCCAGUACGUACGAAGCA